GGUAAAGUGGCAGAUAAGUAAGUGCAGUAGAUUGUAAAUCUAUAAAUGAGGGUUUGAUUCCUUUCUUUAUCA
rnacentral:tRNA from 1 species